rnacentral:lncRNA from 1 species
CGUCCCCCAGCGCCCCCCGCGGCCCGUCGCAGCCCCAGGGCUACGCCCGGUGACGGCGGCGCCACCUUGUCCUCAGUGUGCACUCUCUCCGAGUUCUCAUCCCUGGCUCGGUACACCUGGUGCGCCUCCCUGGUCCGCUGUUGGGGUUCAGGCUCAGACUCUCCCAAGACUUGGUCCUGGUACCCCCAUCGCACCGGUAGAAAUCCUCGUUAGGUGUUCACCUCCACGACUUCACCUGAACUCCCAGCACCCUGGAGUCCCCUGGACACAUACAUGCUUUUCAUCCUUGCAGAGUAAACCUGCAAGAUCUAAUUAUUUCGGAAAAAAGUGGCCUUCAACUCUAAAAAAGUAUGUUGUUGGACGUCUGUUAGCAUUCUGGUCGUUCUCAUCAGGGCUCUUACUGUUAGACUUUGCUGCUGUGUUAUUUCUACUUCUUGGCCCUUUCCUCUGCUGCAUUGUCUUCUGAACUUGAGAAUGCAAGAAAUAAUAGCUUAAAUAGAUGUAAUAACUACCUAAAACACAGCCUAUGGGAAAUUUUUGCUUAAUGGAUAUAAAUUAUGAGCUGAAGAUGUAAUAACGAAGAAGUGAAAGAUUUGCCUAACUUAAAGAUGUACCAUCAGUGAGAUGUCAUUUAUCUGGAAAAGAUAACCAACAAUACCAGACGAUGAAUGCGAUGAAUGCAAAGGCACUUGUGACAACAAGGAAUGGACUUGCACAAAGAAUUCAGCAAACCGGUUUAUAGCCUCCAAUAACUAUGUGGUUUAGGUGGAUUACGUAACUUCUCUGGACUUUGUUUUCCUCUUUUGCAAAAUAAGAAAUUGUGUUGAAUGAUUCUAAGGUCUUGUCCAGCUCCUGAACUCUUUAAAACUCUCGGUAAGCAAUUCCAAAUAAAUGAUAUGGAUUUACAUAGGAAUUUUAAAAAGAUAUAUCAAUCCCAGCUGAUGUGCUCAGGGACAAUUUCUUGAGGAGCUGGGAUUUGAGUUGGUCUUUGACAGCCUUGGAUAGGUGGGAAAAAAGAGGACAGGUGUUAAAAUAUUAAAGACAACACAUUAUUUAUGCUUCCUAAUAGCUACUAAAGUAAACAAGAUCAAAGCAUUAUUCUUUUUUAGUGGCUUGAAAAAACUCUCCCUUACUAUUCAUAGUUUUAAAUAAGAAAUGACUAUUUUCUGACUUUACAAACCCUUUAAGGUUAAGCUCUUCCUCAGAUGUGAAUAUAAAAUCAAAAUAAUCAUGAAUCUCUGCUUUUCCCUUAUUGUGAGAGUCCACUUUAUAGAGACUGUACAGUUGUGGAAGCAUCUUCUUUCUUUACUCGAGAUGACUGUUUGUGUAAUUCAAUCAAAGGAAGACAGCAUGUUCAUAAUUUAGGACCUUUUGCACUAAUUAAAAUGUUUUUGAAAAAAUUACAAUAUGUGGUUAGAUUAAGCAACUCAAUUGAUUUUGAAGAGUGAUCAUUUGUAGAAAGCACAGGAAUUUUACGUAUUAAAUAUAGUACUUAAAAAAGAUUCAUGGGAGAAUUAGUGGAAAAUGGAAAACUUAUGGGAUAUCUGAAUUAAAUGUGAUUAAAAAGCUAGACCUCAGGCUAACAUCCUUAAUAUGAAAGACACUACUGACAAAUUAAUGGAACUUAUUAUAUCUCUUACUCGAACGAACACUUGGUUCUGAUAGUAGCACGUGUUUGGGUAAGAGAUCUUCCCUAACUAUAUUAACCAGGAAAAGUUUAUAUUAUGAUAUAUAGUAACAGACAUUGCCAUAAUGGACAUGCCUUAACACAACAAAAAAGUUUAUUCAUGCUUCUCCCUCCUUAUGUGAAAGACUGUUCCAAUCCCUUCAGGAGAUAGAUUGACAGACUCUGCCAUCUUAUAGCUCUAUCACCAGGAACACAGCAACUCAUUUUCUAUGGCAAAAAAAGAAAAUGACUGAAGGUCUCUAUGAACUUUUCAGAGCCCUAACUUGGAGGGGAAACAGAUCAUCAAUCAUAUUUCUUUGCCCAAAACUACUUACACAGUCCCACACAUCUGCGGGGAGACUGAAUCCUUGAACCCAGUUCAGGAGAAGUGGGGAUUUUGGUGAACAAUGCUAAUAUCAACCACUUUGACAUCACCAGUUGGUUUCUGGAUGCUAUGAAAAACACUCCAAUUUCUCUUGUGUAACUUCAAUAAAGUUACACUUUCAAAAACUAAUUCUCUAUAGGUGUUCAGCUCACUGUUGUAUAGAGUGAACUUUCCAAUUCCUUUCUCUUUGUAUUAAUUGUACAGUAUAGAUCGUCCCCAACUUAAAAUGUUUUACUUGAAUGUUUCAACUUUGUUAUAGUACAAAAUCUCAUUCAUGCAACCAUUUCAUUUCUUCACUUUCA